rnacentral:rRNA from 1 species
UACGUAGGGGGCAAGCGUUGUCCGGAUUUAUUGGGCGUAAAGAGCUCGUAGGCGGUUUGGUAAGUUUGAUGUGAAAUCUCCAGGCUCAACUUGGAGGGGUCAUUCGAUACUGCCAUGACUAGAGUUCGGUAGGGGAGUGUGGAAUUCCUGGUGGAGCGGUGAAAUGCGCAGAUAUCAGGAGGAACACCCGUAGCGAAGGCGGCACUCUGGGCCGGAACUGACGCUGAGGAGCGAAAGCGUGGGGAGCGAACAGG